CCAUGUUGCCCCGGUAGAAUCCCUCCAAUUACCCUCAGUGAGUAUUUUCUGGUGCAAAAUUUGCCGAUCAGUGGGUCUAUCUGAGUAAUACAAAUCUUCACACAACAUGGAUCUUGUCUGUGAGACACUGAAUCAAUGGCAACUCUAGGAAGACCCCGGCCCGCCGGGGGGUGGGGGAUACAAAAGAUGUAGAACCGGGCAUAUGACGGGAGUAUCUGAACCAAAAAAGUCAGCUCAAGGAAUUGGAAUCUCGAUUUGUGCUUGUCAUCCUUGCGUGGUGGCCAUCGGAUGUCCCCGAAGGGACAAUUGGAUUCUGCAAAAACAGUUCCGCUUGAGAGCUAUGCUAAUAAUAAUAAUAAUAAGCGCCCUAGUAUUCAGCUGACAAAAGUAGAGCACAUGCCUGGCCUGUUGAAUUUCCUUUAUUUAGCAUCUUAAAG
rnacentral:lncRNA from 1 species